UCUCUGGUAGUAUAUCGGUUAGUACACGCGCCUGUCAUAUGGGUCUAUAAAUGGUUCGAAUUCCGCGCGAAAGCUGGGUUCGACUCCCAGCCAGAGAG